AGCUGUCCUUAGUACGAGAGGACCGGGAUGGACAUACCUCUGGUGUACCAGUUGUCGUGCCAACGGCAUAGCUGGGUAGCUAUGUAUGGACGGGAUAAGUGCUGAAAGCAUCUAAGCAUGAAGCCCCCCUCAAGAUGAGAUUUCCCAACUUCGGUUAUAAGAUCCCUCGAAGAUGACGAGGUUAAUAGGUUCGAGGUGGAAGCGUGGUGACACGUGGAGCUGACGAAUACUAAUCGAUCGAAGACUUAAUCAA
rnacentral:rRNA from 1 species